AAGAAAAAAAGAAUGCUGCAUUGAAACUGAUUAAUACGAAUAAAUAUAUAAUUAAUAAAUCCUUCUCUCCCUCCUUCCAAAUAAACUCGGUUGUCUCUCUCUCUUACCAAGCACGCAUUCUUUCUCUCUCUCUCUUGUCAAGCGUGAAAAAAACAAAAAAAAUCCAGAUCCUCAUUGUUCAGAUCUCAAAUCGUUCAUACAACAAAGAUAUAUAUCUCAACCAAACUCCAUCAAAUGAAACAUACCUCAGAAUCCAUGAACGCACACAAACAAGCAUAUGCAAAUCAAUACUCAUAUCCUAUUUUGAACCCUGACACCCCAUUUUCAAUACUUUGUCUGUGUUUACAAACUACAAAUGUGAGAGAACAUCAAACCAACGAGACUAUUGAGAGAGAAAAAUAUAUCAAGCUAAAAAAAUGCUACCAAGAUGAAGAUUAAAGAGUUUCGGGGUCUCUAGGUGAUAUGAAGCUCUAUUUAUAGAGUGAAAAGAGAGUCUUGAAAUCGUGUGAAGAAUUCCUUCACAUGUGUGAGCAUUUGAGAUUUUGGAUAAGGAUUGGGAAAAAAUUGUUAAGGAAGAGCUUCCAAAUCCCAGAUUUUGUGGGUGUUGUGCGUGAAAAUUUUCCUUCUUUUUCUUCUCAAUGUAAUUUUUGUCUUUUCUAAACCUGAGCAGAUAUUUUUAGUGUAUUUUUGUAUUUUCUAAAAUGUAAUCUUCUUCUCCUUUUUUUUACUGAUGUAACUCUAAGUUAAUUAUUAAAUAUAAUCCUGUUCAUUUCAUUGAUAAAAAA